GUAAAUCUUUGUCCUUUUAAAUCCAAAGGUCAAUGAUACUUUCUAUAUGCAAAUUCAGUUGUUAAAUGUAUUGCACAUUACUACUCCUGGCAGAUGGGGGAAAACUGCAAAUUUAUCAUGGUGAUGGCUUCAGGAACAAAGAAACCUUUCUUGACUCCACGUUCAGGUGUUGGAGGAUGUGGAGCUGUUGGUGCCUGAGAUCUGAGCACAGCCCAAAUGAGGUGAGCAACUCUCAUUCAAAACCUUUAAUUUUUUUAAUCUUUGCAAUGAGAAUUUUCAGCAGAUGCACUAAAUCCUGAGAUAGUCACAUGUUUAAAUGGAAUAUGAGCACAUUUUUCAUGGGAUAAUGCAUUUAACUGUUAC
rnacentral:lncRNA from 1 species